GGUGGAUCUGGGCUCUGGCGACGGCAGGAUCGUAAGUGCCUGCGUCUGGGUCUUCGCCGCCCCACACCGCCCACCUGCUGGCGGGCGCCCCUGCCCACAUCCUGGUUCCCACACUCUCGGUGCCCACAGGUGCUGGCGGCCCACAGGUGCGGCCUCCGCCCGGCCGUGGGCUACGAGCUGAACCCCUGGCUGGUGGCGCUGGCGCGGCUGCACGCCUGGAGGGCCGGCUGUGCCGGCAGCGUCUGCUAUCGCCGCAAGGAUCUCUGGAAGGUGAGCCUGAGGGACUGCCGCAACGUGUCUGUGUUCCUGGCCCCUAGCGUGCUCCCGCUGCUGGAGGACAAGCUGCGGACAGAGCUGCCUGCUGGGGCCCGCGUGGUGUCUGGGCGCUUCCCACUCCCCACCUGGCAGCCUGUGACCGCGGUUGGCGAGGGCCUGGACCGAGUAUGGGCUUAUGAUGUUCCUGAGGGUGGGCAGGCUGGGGAGGCCGCCUCCUCGCGGAUACCCAUCCAGGCUGCCCCCGGACCUAGUUCUGCCCCCAUCCCGGGGGGCCUUAUUUCUCAGGCCAGCUGAGUAUUAGACACGAUAAAGACUCUGUGGGUUCUA
rnacentral:lncRNA from 1 species